GAGAUGUGAUGAGUAACUUAUUGGUCCGUGUUUCUGAUUUACCGUGACCGAGAAUUUUUAACCAACCUCUGAUCUC